GUCCACGCCCUAAACGAUGCGAACUGGACGUUGGGCACACUUAGGUGCUCAGUGUCGAAGCUAACGCGUUAAGUUCGCCGCCUGUGGAGUACGGUCGCAAGACUGAAACUCAAAGGAAUUGACGGGGGCCCGCACAAGCGGUUGAGUAUGUGGUUUAAUUCGAUGCAACGCGAAGAACCUUACCUGGCCUUGACAUGUCCGGAAUCCUGCAGAGAUGCGGGAGUGCCUUCGGGAAUCGGAACACAGGUGCUGCAUGGCUGUCGU
rnacentral:rRNA from 1 species